UUUCGAUGGAGAGUUUGAUCCUGGCUCAGGACGAACGCUGGCGGCGUGCUUAACACAUGCAAGUCGAACGGUAAGGCCCUUCGGGGUACACGAGUGGCGAACGGGUGAGUAACACGUGAGUGACCUGCCCUCUACUUCGGGAUAACCUCCAGAAAUGGUGGCUAAUACCGGAUAUGACUCCUGCCUGCAUGGGUGGGGGUGGAAAGCUCCGGCGGU
rnacentral:rRNA from 1 species